rnacentral:lncRNA from 1 species
GGCUCUCAGUCCCUGCCUCGCGGGGGGUGCCUCCCCCACUUGCGAUGGGGCUGCCUUCGGACCCGUCGGAUCGUAAAUCCCACGUAAGGUACCUGCCGUCGGAAGAUUUGAACUUUCUACUUGGACACCUAAUACCCACAGUCCUCCAGGUACCUGCCGUCGGAAGAUUUGAACUUUCUACUUGGACAACUAACACUCGCAGUCCUCCAGCUGGAGCUGCGUUCGGACCCGUCGGAUCGUAAAUCCCAUGUAAGGUAUCUGCCGUCGGAAGAUUUGAACUUUCUAAUUGGACACCUAACACCCACAGUCCUCCAGCUGCGUUCGGACCCGUCGGAUCGUAAAUCCCACGUAAGGUCGGAAGAUUUGAACUUUCUACUUGGACACCUAACACCCACAGUCCUCCAGGUACCUGCCGUCGGAAGAUUUGAACGUUCUACUUGGACACCUAAAACCCACAGUCCUCCAGGUACCUGCUGUCGGAAGAUUUGAACUUUCUACUUGGACAACUAACACCCACAGUCCUCCAGGUACCUGCCGUCGGAAGAUUUGAGCUUUCUUCUUGAACACCUCAUACCCACAGUCCUCCAGACAGAAAGACAACAGGUACAAAGCCCUAAGGAUUAUAAAGGUAUGCUGCUUACCAUCAUCUUAGUGACCAAGGCAGCGAAGCUGUUUCUGUACCUUGGAACAGUCUUCCCUGACAAGCCAGAGAACAGUGAUAAAGCCACCAGCCUUGGGAUCAGGACUGAAAAGGCAAGAGUGAUGGAGAUUUCUCCUGCGCUAAGCCAAGAGAAGGUUUCAGCACUUCAGACAGCUCCCACCGAAGUAGCCGCGCUCCCAGCUGCUUGCAGAUGUUGAAAAGGAAAGCCUCGGUUUGUCUUGAGGUUGUCAGCAGGUGCAAGACACGUAAUAAAAUGCAAUGUGUUCCUAA